rnacentral:misc_RNA from 1 species
CCUCCUUAACUUGAGCGCAAGAAGUUGGCAAGUGCUCACACGAAUUACUUAGAUCUCAAUUGAUUGAAAGCGAUAAUUUCACGGGCCACUGGGUUACGUGAUAAAGCCCUCUGCAUGAGGGUGCAGAAUUGCUUGGUUCAGCUGUUGAUUGGCUGGAUAUGCAAGAUUGGGUCUGUAGCUCAGGUGGUUAGAGCGCACCCCUGAUAAGGGUGAGGUCGGAGGUUCAAGUCCUCCCAGACCCACCACUAUCUCGCGGCAGUUACUGAAAAGUAAGCGGGGUAGAGUUGGGCAUUGACAUUGGGCUAUAGCUCANCUGGGGAGAGCGCCUGCCUUGCACGCAGGAGGUCUGCGGUUCGAUCCCGCAUAGCUCCACCACUUCCCGCUUUGGGAGGGUGACCAGAUUAUCGCCAAGAAU